GUAGGGGGCAAGCGUUGCCCCGGAUUUACUGGGCGUAAAGAGCGCGUAGGCGGCCAGGUAAGUCCGGUGUGAAAUUCCUCGGCUCAACCGAGGGCCCGCAUCGGAAACUACUUGGCUUGAGUCCAGGAGAGGAGGGUGGAAUUCCCGGUGUAGCGGUGAAAUGCGUAGAUAUCGGGGGGAACACCAGUGGCGAAGGCGGCCCUCUGGAAUGGUACUGACGCUGAGGCGCGAAAGCUGGGGGAGCGAACGGGAUUAGAUACCCCGGUAGUCCCAGCCGUAAACGAUGGGCACUAGGUGUGGGAGGUAUUGACCCCCUUCCCGUGCCCGCAGUUAACGCAUUAAGUGCCCCGCCUGGGGAGUACGGCCGCAAGGUUG
rnacentral:rRNA from 1 species